rnacentral:rRNA from 1 species
GACGAACGCUGGCGGCGUGCUUAACACAUGCAAGUCGAACGGAAAGGCCCUGCUUUUGUGGGGUGCUCGAGUGGCGAACGGGUGAGUAACACGUGAGUAACCUGCCCUUGACUUUGGGAUAACUUCAGGAAACUGGGGCUCAUACCGGAUAGGAGCUCCUGCUGCAUGGUGGGGGUUGGAAAGUUUCGGCGGUUGGGGAUGGACUCGCGGCUUAUCAGCUUGUUGGUGGGGUAGUGGCUUACCAAGGCUUUGACGGGUAGCCGGCCUGAGAGGGUGACCGGCCACGUUGGGACUGAGAUACGGCCCAGACUCCUACGGGAGGCAGCAGUGGGGAAUAUUGCACAAUGGGCGGAAGCCUGAUGCAGCAACGCCGCGUGCGGGAUGACGGCCUGCGGGUUGUAAACCGCUUUCGCCUGUGACGAAGCGUGAGUGACGGUAAUGGGUAAAGAAGCACCGGCUAACUACGUG